GUGGGGAAUCUUAGACAAUGGGCGCAAGCCUGAUCUAGCCAUGCCGCGUGAGCGAUGAAGGCCUUAGGGUUGUAAAGCUCUUUCGCUGGGGAAGAUAAUGACUGUACCCAGUAAAGAAGCCCCGGCUAACUCCGUGCCAGCAGCCGCGGUAAUACGGAGGGGGCUAGCGUUGUUCGGAAUUACUGGGCGUAAAGCGCGCGUAGGCGGAUUGGAAAGUUGGGGGUGAAAUCCCGGGGCUCAACCUCGGAACUGCCUUCAAAACUCCCAGUCUUGAGUUCGAGAGAGGUGAGUGGAAUUCCGAGUGUAGAGGUGAAAUUCGUAGAUAUUCGGAGGAACACCAGUGGCGCAAGCGGCUAUCUGGACCGAUAUUGACGCUGAGGCACGAAAGCGUGGGGAGCAAACAGGAUUAGAUACCCGGGUAGUCC
rnacentral:rRNA from 1 species